UGCCGCCGUGAUUGUGAGGCCUCCUCAGCCAUGUAGAACUAUAACAAUAUCAACUGAAUAUAAAAUAUUAAUGCCAUGGAUGAUCUCAGAAAUGAUUUCCUACAAAGUCCCAACCUAUCCUGGAACAUUUCUUAUGUGUGCUUGGGAGCUGGAUUGCAGUGUCAUGACCUGGGCUCAGUGUAACUUCCAUCUGCCAGGCUCAAGAGAUCCUCCCGCCUCAGCGUCUCGAGUAGCUGGGACUACAGGAACGUGCCACCAGGCCUGGCUAAUUUUUUAUUUUUUUUGUGAAGACGGGGUUUCACUAUGUGGCUCAGGCUGGUCUCAAACUCCAGGAAUCAAGGGACCCACCUGCCUAGGCCUCCCAAAGUGCUGGGAUUACAGGCAUGAGCUACCGCACCAGGGCUGUAUGUAAUUAUUUAAUAUUGUUUGUCUUAGCCAUAUAUCAGGUUGUUUAUAAACAACAGAAAUUUAUUUCACACAGUUCUGUAAGCUAGAAAAUCCACAAUUAAGGCGUCAUCAGAUUUGAUGUCCAGGGAGGGCCCACUUUCCCAUAAUGACACCCUCUCACUCUGUCCUCACAGGGUGAAAGGGGUUAGUUAGCUUUUUGAGGUCUCUUUGUAAGGGCAGUAAUCCUAUUCACAGAGGCUCUGCCCUCCUGAUCUAGUCACCUCCCAAAGGCCCCACCUCCUAAUAGCAUCACAUUGAGGAUUAGGUUUUAAUGUAUAAUUUUUGGAGGGACACAAACAUUCAAACCAUUGCAUAGGUAUAGGAUAUGUAAGACUACAUUUGUAAUAUUUUUCUUGCCCCCAUAAAUAUUGUCACAUACCAAAAUAUGACAGAUUAUUUUUCUAUUAGUUUAUAAGUUGUCAGGAUAUAGGAUCUGUGACUGAACCUAAUAGAGAGGGAUGCCCAUUAACCACAGAUUCUGAGAUUUGUGAUGGAAGAGGUAAUAGGAUAGGACCUUGGGCUUUGUCCUUUGGCGGAAGAAUGAGUUCACUUUGUUGGAAGCAGAGUGUGCACCAAUAAAUGGUUGCCAUAGGAUGGACUCUGGCAGCCUACCAGUUAUUCCCUUCAAAUCUUUUCCCCUCUUUUUUUCUGGGCACAUGGCUACAAAGCUGUGAACAAUUUCUGUUGUCCUCACACGUAUUAGCCAUGUGAAGCUCUGUAAUAAGUUCUCACCAAUGGAAUAUGAACAAAGUAAUGUGUUAAAAGAAGAUUAAAAGGUUAAAAGAAGAUUUCUUGCUCUGGUCUUGCUCACUUUUCCCUUCUUGCAGACUGAAAUGUACAUAUGGUAGAGGUGCAGCAUCAGUCAUGCUGAUGAAGAAAACAUCCAUGGGAUUGAUGGAGGAUGAAAACGGGCUCAAUAAAAAUUCACAGAGAAAAGCUGCCUUACGAGAUUGCAAGAGGACAACUCGGCUCUAAAAUCGAUGCAUUAACAUGUCAUUGGAAUUGACCUUGCCAAAAGAUGCCUCCCUAAAUCCACAAGAAUCUCCUUGUUUGAACACAGUUUCUAAUCCAGCUGUAAUGAAGACAGACAACAGUCAAAUUAACAACUGAUCAGGAGGAGAAGUUCAUACUCCUUGAGCUGGAUCUAUCUGCACAUGCACCUGGCCCAGGAAGCUGAAAUGGGAGAUCUGAUGAGCAGUGGAGGACUGAACCAAAGCCCUUGGCUUUUGCUCCAUACCAGUCAGAGUCUCAUCAGGAUAUCAUGUUGCAUUGAGUAGUCAUGUCUCCACAGGCUUUUCUUGGCUGCGACUCUUACUCACGUUUUCCUUGGUUUUGCCCACCUUACAGUUUACAGUAGUGGUCAGGUAUUUUGUAGUAUGUCCCUCACUUGGGCUUUGCUUGAUGCUUAUCUCCUGAGAAAACUAGGGAUAUGUAUUUUGGGGAGGAAGGCCACAGAGAUGAAGUGACAUUCUUUUCACAUCAUAUCAAUGCUACAUACUAUCAAAAGGGCUUAUCACUGUUGAUGUUAAUUUUAAUCACCUGGCUAAGAUAUUCUUUUUCAGGAUUUUGACUUUAAAGUUACCCUUUAUGCUUUUCCUUCUCAUAAAGUGCUCUUUGAAAUGAAGUCACUCUGUGCAGCAGACAUUUAAAAAGCAGGAAAUUAUGGUGACAGAGUAUCUGUAUAAAUUAUUUGCAGUUCUUUUAUUUUCAGAGUUUGGAAUUAUAGCACUCCUAUAAAUCUUAUUACUAAUGGUGCCACAAAUUGUGUACUACUGAUAUGUAUUAGUGCACAACUUAAAGCAUGUGGACAUGAGCUGUAUUUGAAAAAACAUUCAGAUGGAAGAGCUACCUGAUUUGAAGUGAAUCUUAAUUGGAACUUAAUGAUGCCUCCUAGUAAUUUACUAUUUUAGCUGAACCUACAGUAUCAGCUGUAGCCCAGAAAAUAUAAGAGCUACAAUUCGUACAAUUCAACAUCAGCUGCCAAGGCCCACCUGGACUGCACCUGCAAAACCAGCUGUGGUUUCUUUGCUCUCACAAUUCAUGUCAGUGUUUUUCAGCCAAUGCAUCACUGGUUUCGAAUUUUAUACUGUUCCUCUCUCAGUCCUCCACCCCUCUAGUUUCUAAAUGAUAGAGAAUAAUUAGGUGAGGUUUAAACUCUCAGGAUUAUUCAGGGUUUGUGGAGAGUAGGAAGGUUUCUUCCAGGUUACAGCACAAUUUAAGGAGCCUGGCAAGAAGCAUCCAAUAUUAGCAAGUAGAAAAGCAGCAUAAGUAUGAGGUUGGAACUUCCCACGAUACUUAGUACAUGGAAAAAAAUGUAGAACAUACCAAAAAAAAAGCAAAUUGUAAAAAAAUUUCACAAAUAAAAAUACUGUUAUGAAAAUUAUAAUUCACAUUUUUAAUAUUUUUUAUUGUAAAAUGUAUAAAAUUUGCCAUUUAACCUCUUAAGUGUACAAUUCAGUGGCAUUAAUUGUAUUUACAGUUUUGUGCAACAAUCACCACUAUUUUCAAAAAUUUUCAUCAAUCCAAACAGAAACUCUGGCAAUUAGUAACAACUCCCCAUUUUUUAUUCCUAAUCCAUCCCCUAGUAAACUCUAAAUCUUGUCUCUGUGAAUCUCCCUGUUCUAAAUAUUUGUAUAAGAGGAAUCAUACAACAUUGACCCUUUUGUGUCUGGCUAAUUUCACUUUGCAUAAUGUUUAAAAGCUUCAUCCAUAUAGUGACAUGUAUGAGAACUUCAUUUCUUUUUUAUGGCUCAAUUAUAUUCCACAGUAUGCACACACACCCCAUUUUGUUUAUCCAUUCAUCUGUUGAUAGACACACGUGGGUUAUUUCCUCCUUUUGGCUGUUAUGAAUAAUGCUGCUAUAAACACUAGUGUGCAUUUAUCUGAAUUCAUGUUUUACAUUCAUUGGGAUACCAAAUUAAAAUGCUGGGUCAUAUGGUAAUUCUGUUUAACAUUUUAAGGUAUCACCAAACUGUCUUCCACAGCAGCUGCAUCAUUUUAAAUGCAGACCAACAAAGUAUGAUUCUCCAAAUUUCCCAGUUACUCGUCAACUCUUGUUCUACAUUUUCUAACUAUAGUGAUACUAGUAGGUAUAACAUUAUGUCAUUGUGAUUUUGAUUUGCAAUGGCCUAAAAACUAAUGGUUUUUUAAUAACUUUCAUGUUGUACUCAUUGGCCAUUUGCAUAUCUUUAGCAAAAUGUCUAUUCAAAUCCUUUGCCUGUUUUUAAUUGGGUUGUUUUGUCUUUUUGUUGUAGAGUUGUAGUUUUUUAAUGUCUUGAUAUAAAUCUCUUACAAGAUACAUACUUCACAGUACAUUAUCUCAUUUUGUAAAUAAGUUAUUUCACUCUCUUAGUGAUGUUUUUAUUAUCUAAAGGUUUUAAUACUUUUUAAAACUUGUACUGUGAAUAUGAUAUGCCCUGUGAUUAACAAAUUUAUUUAUUACUUAAACAACUUAAUUUUUAAAAAUAAUUGCAUGAAUAUUUUUGUCCUAUUUGUUCCAUUCCUACUUCGUGAACACCAAUUAUCUGUUUGACAGAUUGUCAUUUUCCAUGCUUCAUACAAAUUCUUUUUUCUUCUGCAUUUUUUUCUUUCCAAUCUUUGUGAAUGUAUUUAAUUUUCUUGCCUUGAUAUUCUGACUAGAACCUCCAGUAUAAUUUAUUUAUU
rnacentral:lncRNA from 1 species